AAGCAUUUCAAAUUAAAUAUUAAUCUUAAAAUUUUAGGCCCUUUCCUUGCAUCCCUAGGGUUAGGGAUCUUCGCGCUCGCACUCCUACUUUGAGCCCAUUUUGCAUUUGUUGUACUUGCUCUUUCAAUCCGAGACAGCAGUGGCUUUCUCCUGUCCUGUUUUUGGCAGCCCGGUGAGUCAUGAAACCAGACAGAUCGGUUCUACUGCCAAUUAAGACUACCCAGUUUGAGCUAGGAUUCUACGCCUUGAUCCUCUUCACAGUCCAGAUGACCUUGACUACUGCCUUACUGAGAAUUGGAUAUGAGGAUAAAAGUAUAUCGAACACUUCUACUUACACGAGAAAGUUGGAGGUAUUGUAAAGUCUUUUAAUUUUUUUAGAUUUGCAAAAUUUGGACCACAUAAUGAUUCUGCCAUAUAUAUAUAUUUUUAAAAUUUCUUUAUUUAUUUUUAGAGAGAGCGUGCACUGGAGGAGUGGUGGCCGAAGGGCGGGGGGAGAGAAUCUUGAGUAGACUCCCCGCUGAGCGCAGAGCUUGACAUAGGGCUUGAUCUCAGGACCCUGAGAUCAUGACCUGAGCUGAAACCAAAAGUUGGGUGUUUAGCAGGCUGAGCCACCCAGGCAUCCCUCUGCCAUUUAUUUUUUAUGCAAAGAGGAGGUUUGGUAUAGUAUGCUUUGCAGCUGUUAGUCCAGAGUAUGAUAGGAAUCAGCAUCACAACGGUAAAACUACUUUGAAUGUUUUAGGCCAGUCUUAAUUCUAGAGCACUUUGUUAGGUCAUAUGUCUAGGAAUCUAGUAACUUAGAAGAUUGAGAAUUCUUGAUUUUGUUAGUUUAUCUAGUAGCAUACUACUUUAUAAUGGAGAACUUCUCCAGAAACUUACUUUUUCUUAUCCAUGACUCCCCAUUCUUGAUGGGGUGGGUAAGAAACUGGGUUAUUAGAGAACUGUUAGUAGCAUGGAAUUAAACAUUUAAGUGUAUUUUAUCCAAGUCAGGGUCGAACCUGAUGGAUUAUUCCUGGUAUCAUGGUAUAUACCUUCCUGGUGAUUAGAGAGACUAUUUCUGUCUCUAAUUAUAUCUCAGAGUCAUGGUCACAUUUAAUAAUCCUGUUUUCCAGCUUUAUGCUCAGAGUUCGUAGUCCUCACUGACUUUUACCAGUUUGUCUUGGUACUUAGUCACCCUGUUUUUUAGUUUUGAGUUUUGUUUUUUAGCAUGUUUAAGAUGGGAUCAAUGAUAGCAGUAAAACAUUUUCAGAUCACGUUAUACAGCUGGCUAUUUUACCAGCUAACCAGCCCCACCUCUAGUGUAUGGAUUCUGGUCAACUCAGGCAAAACUCUUCACAACCUUUCCUCUUUUUACUGAUCUUUCGUUAAAAAUCUCUUGCCAUACCCUUUUUAUAAUAAAUAAUGACAACAUAAAUCUAUUGCA
rnacentral:lncRNA from 1 species